AGAGUUUGAUUCUGGCUCAGAACGAACGCUGGCAGCGUGGAUUAGGCAUGCAAGUCGAACGGGAAGCCCCGCCUUCAAUCCUUCGGGAGAGAAAGCGGGGUGGAUAGUGGCGGAAGGGUGAGUAACGCGUGGGCAACCUGCCUCGUAGUUGGGAAUAACCUUGCGAAAGCGGGGCUAAUACCGAAUGUGGAUUCUUAACGCAUGUUGGGAAAUCUAAAGAUGGGGAUUCUUCGGAACCUGUCGCUAUGGGAGGGGCCCGCGUCCUAUCAGCUUGUUGGUAAGGUAACGGCUUACCAAGGCUAUAACGGGUAGCUGGUCUGAGAGGAUGAUCAGCCACACUGGGACUGAGACACUGCCCAGACUCCUACGGGAGGCUGCAGUCGAGGAUCAUUUGCAAUGCGCGAAAGCGUGACAAUGCGACGCUGCGUGGAGGACGACGGCCUUCGGGUUGUAAACUCCUGUCAGGAGGGAAAAAUUAUCCUCACGUAAAUAGCGUGGAGAUUUGAUGGUACCUCCAAAGGAAGCCACGGCUAACUCUGUGCCAGCAGCCGCGGUAAUACAGAGGUGGCUAGCGUUGUUCGGAUUUACUGGGCGUAAAGGGUGCGUAGGUGGUUGCGUAUGUCGAACGUGAAAGCCCACGGCUCAACCGUGGAAGUGCGUUCGAAACUGCGCAGCUCGAGUGCAUGAGGGGAGAGCGGAAUUCUUGGUGUAGCGGUGAAAUGCGUUGAUAUCAAGAAGAACACCGGUGGCGAAGGCGGCUCUCUGGAAUGCAACUGACACUGAGGCACGAAAGCUGGGGGAGCAAACAGGAUUAGAUACCCUGGUAGUCCCAGCCGUAAACGUUGUGAACUUGGUGUGGGGAGAAUUAACCCUCUCCGUGCCGGAGCUAACGCAUUAAGUUCACCGCCUGGGGAGUACGGCCGCAAGGCUAAAACUCAAAGAAAUUGACGGGGGCCCGCACAAGCGGAGGAGCAUGUGGCUUAAUUCGAUGCAACGCGAAGAACCUUACCAGGGCUUGACAUGGCGACCCUUCGGGGGUGGAAGCGAAAGUUUCCUUUACGAUCACAGGUGCUGCAUGGCUGUCGUCAGUUCGUGCCGUGAGGUGUUUGGUUAAGUCCAGCAACGAACGCAACCCUUGUGUUUAGUUGCCACCAUCGGUGAUGAGCCGAUGAGCACUCUAGACAGACUGCCCGUACAAGCGGGAGGAAGGUGGGGAUGACGUCAAGUCAGUAUGGCCCUUACGCCCUGGGCUGCACACGUGCUACAAUGGCCGGUACAAUGGGAAGCAAUAUCGCAAGAUGGAGCAAAUCCUGAAAACCGGCCCCAGUUCGGAUUGGAGUCUGCAACUCGACUCCAUGAAGUCGGAUUCGCUAGUAACGGCGUAUCAGCUACGACGCCGUGAAUACGUUCCCGGGCCUUGUACACACCGCCCGUCACAUCAUGAAAGCCGUCUGCACCCGAAGUCGCUGAUCCAACCUUCACAGGGGGAAGGCGCCGAAGGUGUGGGUGGUGAUUGGGAUGAAGUCGUAACAAGGUA
rnacentral:rRNA from 1 species